rnacentral:lncRNA from 1 species
CGAGCAACGGGAGCUCACCCCGUCGCGGGGAUUCGAACCGAUCGGCAAGCCCAAGGCUCUGUGAUUUAGACCACAGCGCCACCCGCGUACCUACUCAAGAGCAGGCCCACUGAAAUUAGCAGACAUGACUUACUUAGCUUUAUUAAUUUCAGUGGGUCUACUUUGAGAAGAACUGAGUUAGCUACAAUCCUUAGAUGUCUGUUUCCAUCGACACACCUACAGCUGUGCAGAUUUGGUGUUUCUGUGCUCCAAAAAAAAGGAGGAUCUGAAAAGCUGCUCAUUUCUAAAAUGCAAAGAGUUGUGGCUCGCCGUUGUCAUUCCGAUCCUCGAAGGCUUCCUGUAUCCUGCUCACGUAGUACAGAGCUGCACAGUGCAAGGAGCGUCUUAAAAUAAACCCCCACAAAAGUAAGUAAAGGGCUUGGAAAUCCCCUGUUGCCCUUCCACGCAGCCUCCUCUCCAACCAUUCACUAAAGAAACCAGAUGCUCCAGAUCAGCCCAAAUAAUGAGCUCAUCCAAUCUUCGCCGUUUCUGCCUGGCAUUUCGUGAGUCAUGGAAAACACGAGUCUGGUUGCUCGGGUAACUGCAAAGCAAGCCUGUUGCCUGUGGGUUGCGCAAGACGGCGUCCAGCCUUCAUCCGAAACAGAUAGCCCCAUUCGUCUAUGGGAGCUCCAUGGGAUGCGGGACUAAGACACCUUGAACUGAACCCCCUCCUCCUCGUGAGAAGGUAGUGGUUGCGCCUGGGCAGCGGCCGUGAACAUGGGCAAGAAAGAUGACAUACCAAGAAGAAACCUGGGUGAGAUCUCUCUUGCUGACCUGCUAGCUUUCUUCUGCCAGAGCGUUGUACGUGAGGAAGCGUGCAAAAUGGAGGCAAGCCUUAAAAAUGACACACUCCCACAGCUGCAACCUGGAGGACUCUUUGUUUUUUGCUAAGCACGUACUCUCACAAACCCCGAAAUCUUGAUUGCUUAAGAGGAGCAGAAUACAGAUCGGAAGACACCCUCUUCUAUGUAAGAGCUGGUGAGAUCAUCGCCCAUAUCUCUUCGCGAAGGCCUAGUAGAUCUCAAAGCUGUGCAGCCACUGUCUGCAAUUCCUUGCCACCCGCCCUUGUAUGUUCUUCUGCUGUUUACGU